UACGUAGGGGGGCAAGCGUUGUCCGGAAUCAUUGGGCGUAAAGCGCGUGUAGGCGGUCCGGUAAGUCCGCUGUGAAAGUCGGGGGCUCAACCCUCGGAUGCCGGUGGAUACUGUCGGGCUUGAGUACGGAAGAGGCGAGUGGAAUUCCUGGUGUAGCGGUGAAAUGCGCAGAUAUCAGGAGGAACACCAAUUGCGAAGGCAGCUCGCUGGGACGUUACUGACGCUGAGACGCGAAAGCGUGGGGAGCAAACAGG
rnacentral:rRNA from 1 species